rnacentral:rRNA from 1 species
GAUGAACGCUGGCGGCGUGCCUAAUACAUGCAAGUCGAGCGAACAGACGAGGAGCUUGCUCCUCUGACGUUAGCGGCGGACGGGUGAGUAACACGUGGAUAACCUACCUAUAAGACUGGGAUAACUUCGGGAAACCGGAGCUAAUACCGGAUAAUAUAUUGAACCGCAUUGUUCAAUAGUGAAAGACGGUUUUGCUGUCACUUAUAGAUGGAUCCGCGCCGCAUUAGCUAGUUGGUAAGGUAACGGCUUACCAAGGCAACGAUGCGUAGCCGACCUGAGAGGGUGAUCGGCCACCCUGGAACUGAGACACGGUCCAGACUCCUACGGGAGGCAGCAGUAGGGAAUCUUCCGCAAUGGGCGAAAGCCUGACGGAGCAACGCCGCGUGAGUGAUGAAGGUCUUCGGAUCGUAAAACUCUGUUAUUAGGGAAGAACAAAUGUGUAAGUAACUAUGCACGUCUUGACGGUACCUAAUCAGAAAGCCACGGCUAACUACGUG